UCCUGACACGGGGAGGUAGUG
rnacentral:siRNA from 1 species